GUAGGGAAUAUUGGGCAAUGGAGGAAACUCUGACCCAGCCAUGCCGCGUGAAGGAUGAAGGUCCUACGGAUUGUAAACUUCUUUUAUUAGGGAAGAAACCCUCGCAUUCAUGUGAGGCUGACGGUACCUAAGGAAUAAGCACCGGCUAACUCCGUGCCAGCAGCCGCGGUAAUACGGAGGGUGCAAGCGUUAUCCGGAUUCACUGGGUUUAAAGGGUGCGUAGGCGGAAUGAUAAGUCAGUGGUGAAAGCCCCGAGCUCAACUUGGGAAUUGCCAUUGAUACUGUUGUUCUUGAGUUCGGUUGAGGUAGGCGGAAUGUUGCAUGUAGCGGUGAAAUGCUUAGAUAUGCAACAGAACACCGAUUGCGAAGGCAGCUUACCAAGCCGACACUGACGCUGAGGCACGAAAGCGUGGGGAUCAAACAGGAUUAGAAACCCGGGUAGUCC
rnacentral:rRNA from 1 species